UAGGGAAUCUUCCGCAAUGGACGCAAGUCUGACGGAGCAACGCCGCGUGAGUGAAGAAGGAUUUCGGUUCGUAAAACUCUGUUGUUAGAGAAGAACAGCGCAUAGAGUAACUGUUAUGCGUGUGACGGUAUCUAACCAGAAAGCCACGUCUAACUACGUGCCAGCAGCCGCGGUAAUACGUAGGUGGCAAGCGUUGUCCGGAUUUAUUGGGCGUAAAGCGAGCGCAGGCGGUCAAUUAAGUCUGAUGUGAAAGCCCCCGGCUCAACCGGGGAGGGUCAGUGGAAACUGGUUGACUUGAGUGCAGAAGAGGAGAGUGGAAUUCCAUGUGUAGCGGUGAAAUGCGUAGAUAUAUGGAGGAACACCAGUGGCGAAGGCGACUCUCUGGUCUGUAACUGACGCUGAGGUUCGAAAGCGUGGGUAGCAAACAGG
rnacentral:rRNA from 1 species